rnacentral:tRNA from 1 species
GAGGGAAUAGCUCAAAUGGCAGAGCACAUGCUUCACAUGCAUGAGGUCCUGGGUUCAAUCUCCAGUACUUUCU